rnacentral:tRNA from 3 species
GCCACCGUAGCUCAGUGGUAGAGCGCAUCCUUGGUAAGGAUGAGGUCACGGGUUCAAAUCCCGUCGGCGGCU